rnacentral:ribozyme from 1 species
AUAUUAUUUCUUUUUAAUUGUAUUUUAUUUAAUUGUAUUUUAUUAAAUACUCAAGACAGUGAGUGAUAUUUCGAAAUUCAAUAGGCACUCACUAAGUAGGAUGAUGGGCUCUACCUUUUUAUGAAUGCUCUCAGAACAUCAAUGUGUUUUUGUUUUUGCUGCUGUUUUUUUUUCUUCUUCUUCUUCUCUAA